rnacentral:piRNA from 1 species
GGGACCCUGGAUUCAAAUUUAAGC